rnacentral:rRNA from 1 species
CCUACGGGAGGCAGCAGUGAGGAAUAUUGGUCAAUGGACGAGAGUCUGAACCAGCCAAGUAGCGUGAAGGAUGACUGCCCUAUGGGUUGUAAACUUCUUUUAUAUGGGAAUAAAACGUUCCACGUGUGGGAUUUUGUAUGUACCAUAUGAAUAAGCAUCGGCUAACUCCGUGCCAGCAGCCGCGGUAAUACGGAGGAUCCGAGCGUUAUCCGGAUUUAUUGGGUUUAAAGGGUGCGUAGGUGGGUUGUUAAGUCAGGUGUGAAAGUUUGGGGCUCAACCGUAGCAGUGCAGUUGAAACUGGCAGUCUUGAGUACAGUAGAGGUAGGCGGAAUGCGUGGUGUAGCGGUGAAAUGCAUAGAUAUCACGAAGAACUCCGAUUGCGAAGGCAGUUCACUGGACUGCAACUGACGCUGAGGCGCGAAAGUGUGGGGAUCAAACAGGAUUAGAUACCCGAGUAGUC